rnacentral:tRNA from 1 species
GGAGAGGUAGCUCAGUGGAAGAGUGCUUGCCUUGUACACAUGAGGCCCUAGGCUCGAUUCCUCUACACCA